GACGUAGGGCGCGAGCGUUGUCCGGAUUUAUUGGGCGUAAAGAGCUCGUAGGCGGCUUGUCGCGUCGACUGUGAAAACCCGGGGCUCAACUCCGGGCCUGCAGCCGAUACGGGCAGACUAGAGUUCGGCAGGGGAGACUGGAAUUCCUGGUGUAGCGGUGAAAUGCGCAGAUAUCAGGAGGAACACCGGUGGCGAAGGCGGGUCUCUGGGCCGAUACUGACGCUGAGGAGCGAAAGCGUGGGGAGCGAACAGG
rnacentral:rRNA from 1 species